rnacentral:antisense_RNA from 1 species
CGGCGCUUGAGGCUUUCUGCCUCAUGACGUGAAGGUGGUUUGUUGCCGUGUUGUGUGGCAGAAAGAAGAUAGCCCCGUAGUAAGUUAAUUUUCUGUACUGCACCCAUUUUGUUGGACGAUGAAAUGGAAUAGCCCCUAAUAUGUCAAAGCCAAAAUACCCUUUUGAAAAG